AGUGGCUUGUGAAGAAACGGGUUAACCCGGCCCGUACCGUGAAACCCGCGGGUUAACCCGGCUCAUUCCCCACCACUAGGCCGCGUGUCACAGUAAUGUAAGCCUGUUACGUACGUGUCACAAUAUCUUGUUUCCCUCAUAUAAAAAGUUAAAAACGAAGAAAGAAACCCUAACUCCCUAAGCCUAAGCCGCUGCCGCCUUCAUUCUUCCUCUUCUUUUCUUCUUCCCUGCUGAGUCUUCUGAAUCUGAUGGCAGGUACGAAUCACAGUCACAGAACAACAAAUUGAAAUCUAAAGAUCAAAGUUUAAAGGCUAGCAGCAGAAGAAGAUCGAUCUCAUGUAUUUAAAGGUUCACUGUAAAGGUUAACUUCAGAUCUCGUGUUUGAAUUUCGGAUUUCAUCUUCUUACAGUUACAAUCAAAAGGGGGACAUCAAGCACCAUCUUUGAUUAAAUGUACUGGGGAGAGAG